UGAUCCCCAGGGAUCAUAACCUUUAUGGUUCCUCUAGAUGUUGUGUAUUCUGAAUGAUUUAUAAGUAUGUCAACACUUUCUAUUGCUGAUCAUGCCCAAAGCUAAUCCAAGCCCAAGUGCACGGGCUCUUUGCAAUGGAUUCCCAACCCCCUGACCCCUUUGUAUGAACUUAUUAACUAUGUGCAAUGCUAAUGGCUGUCUCCCUAGCACUCUUCCCCUCUCCUUUAUUCCUCAGUUCUUAAAACUCCGUUUCUGCACUUUUACUAUCUUCUUAGACAUAAGUUCUGCCCCCUUAUGUGACCCUUGCCUUGGGACCUAUGAGCUCCCUAUGAACUUGGACAUAUAAGAGCUGGCAUUUUGAUACUGCACUCAUCUCUAUUCUGG
rnacentral:lncRNA from 1 species